CAAAAAUUUUUUUUUUUUGGGGGGGGGGCAAGAGGGGGGGGGGGGGGAGUUUAAAAAAUUGGUUGGGGGUUUUUUUUUUCCUCUUUUGGGGGGGAGGGAAAAAAACCCCGGGGGGAAAACUUUUUGGUUUAAUUUCCCUUAUUAAGUUUUUUUUCGGGGGAAAAACUUUUAUUGGGGCCAAAGGGAAUGGGCCCGGCACUUUGAUUUAGUUUGUUGGUGGGGGUAAUGCCCUUACAAGACCUUUGAUCCAUAGCUGAUUUGAGAGGAUGAUCAGCCACAAUGGGGACUGAGACACGGCCCAAACUCUUACGGGAGGCNAGCAGUAGGGAAUCUUGCACAAUGGAAGAAACUCUGAUGCAGCGAUGCCGCGUGAGUGAAGAAGGCCUUGGGGNUUGUAAAGCUCUUUCGUCGGGGAGAAAAAUGACUGUACCCGAAUAAGAAGGUCCGGCUAACUUCGUGCCAGCAGCCGCGGUAAUACGAAGGGACCUAGCGUAGUUCGGAAUUACUGGGCUUAAAGAGUUCGUAGGUGGUUAAAAAAGUUGGUGGUGAAAUCCCAGAGCUUAACUCUGGAACUGCCAUCAAAACUUUUUAGCUAGAGUAUGAUAGAGGAAAGCAGAAUUUCUAGUGUAGAGGUGAAAUUCGUAGAUAUUAGAAAGAAUACCGAUUGCGAAGGCAGCUUUCUGGAUCAUUACUGACACUGAGGAACGAAAGCAUGGGUAGCGAAGAGGAUUAGAUACCCUCGUAGUCCAUGCCGUAAACGAUGUGUGUUAGACGUUGGAAAUUUAUUUUCAGUGUCGCAGCGAAAGCAAUAAACACACCGCCUGGGGAGUACGACCGCAAGGUUAAAACUCAAAUGAAUUGACGGGGACCCGCACAAGUAGUGGAGCAUGUGGUUUAAUUCGAAGAUACGCGCAGAACCUUACCAACACUUGACAUGUUCGUCGCGACUCUAAGAGAUUAGAGUUUUCGGUUCGGCCGGACGAAACACAGGUGCUGCAUGGCUGUCGUCAGCUCGUGUCGUGAGAUGUUGGGUUAAGUCCCGCAACGAGCGCAACCCUUACUUUUAGUUGCCAUCAUUUAGUUGGGAACUCUGAAAGAACUGCCAGUGAUAAGCUGGAGGAAGGUGGGGAUGACGUCAAGUCCUCAUGGCCCUUAUGUGUUGGGCUACACACGUGCUACAAUGGCAUUUACAAUAGGAAGCAAGAUGGCGACAUCAAGCAAAUCCUAAAAAAAUGCCUCAGUUCGGAUUGUACUCUGCAACUCGAGUACAUGAAGCUGGAAUUACUAGUAAUCGCGGAUCAGCGUGCCGCUUGUCAUUCGCCCG
rnacentral:rRNA from 1 species